AGGGGCACUGUCUCCCCUUUGCCCUCCCCCUGCCCCUGCGGUCGACCGCAGCACCUUAACACUGGACACUGCAUGAGCACUUCUGCUCUCCUGCCUCAGGGGGAUGCUCUUAGGAUUUGUGAAAAUCCCUUUGGGAUGAAAGCUCCACAGCACACGCUGCAGCCUGGGAACUGCCCACGUGGACUGAAGCCUUGGACACGUCCUCUUCCCUGCUCUGUUCCAGCGGUGGCUGUAGGUGCUGUUAACUUCACCAGGGCUGCAUUUUCCCAUCCGAAAAAUGAAGAGACACAACUCACAUGGCUGUUGGGAAGAUUAAAGAGAGUCGGUCCUCGAUGGUAGAAAAGGGGAGCCACGUUUGACAGUCCGAUUCAGAGCCGCGGUCUUCCCGGAGGUUUCAGGGCACACCGGAGCAUGCUAUGGAGACACACAGGCCGGAGCACUGUCAUCACAAGCUGGGUCAGAGGAGCUCUUGAGAAGAAAGUCCUGAUAAAAAACCCUGCAGGUUUCAACCCUCUUUUCCUAGUUGCAGAAUGGGUGGGCGGGGAAGAGGUAAAAUCUGUGUGGAAUGAACGGUGACCUCAUGAAUGGGUUUAAUUUGACCUUUAGAAAUUUAUUACUUAUUAUUGGGGGUUGAAGUUCUAACCUGAGAUCUAAGAGUCUUCUUCAGUAAUAUGCAUGAUUGGGGGCGGCGGGGUGGGA
rnacentral:lncRNA from 1 species